rnacentral:rRNA from 1 species
AGUGAACGCUGGCGGUAGGCCUAACACAUGCAAGUCGAACGGCAGCACAGUAAGAGCUUGCUCUUACGGGUGGCGAGUGGCGGACGGGUGAGGAAUACAUCGGAAUCUACUUUUUCGUGGGGGAUAACGUAGGGAAACUUACGCUAAUACCGCAUACGACCUACGGGUGAAAGCAGGGGAUCUUCGGACCUUGCGCGAUUGAAUGAGCCGAUGUCGGAUUAGCUAGUUGGCGGGGUAAAGGCCCACCAAGGCGACGAUCCGUAGCUGGUCUGAGAGGAUGAUCAGCCACACUGGAACUGAGACACGGUCCAGACUCCUACGGGAGGCGGCAGUGGGGAAUAUUGGACAAAGGGCGCAAGCCUGAUCCAGCCAUCCCGCGUGGGUGAAGAAGGCCUUCGGGUUGUAAAGCCCUUUUGUUGGGAAAGAAAAGCAGCAGGUUAAUACCCCGCUGUUCUGACGGUACCCAAAAAAUAAGCACCGGCUAACUUCGUG